GAUGAACGCUGACAGAAUGCCUAACACAUGCAAGUCUUUGGCGAAGCUGUGCUUGCACAGCCUAGCCAAGGCGGACGGGUGAGUAACGCGUAAGGGACUUGCCCUGCAGUCAGGGAUAACAGACGGAAACGACUGAUAAAACCUGAUAAAGUCAGGCGGACUCAUGUCCAGCCUGAUGAAAAGGAAUGCUGCAGGAGAGCCUUGCGUCCUAUUAGCUUGUUGGUGGGGUAACGGCCCACCAAGGCGAUGAUAGGUAGCCGGCCUGAGAGGGUGGACGGCCACAAGGGGACUGAGAUACGGCCCUUACUCCUACGGGAGGCAGCAGUGGGGAAUAUUGGACAAUGGGGGCAACCCUGAUCCAGCAAUUCUGUGUGCACGAUGAAGGUCUUCGGAUUGUAAAGUGCUUUCAGCAGGGAAGAAAAA
rnacentral:rRNA from 1 species